rnacentral:rRNA from 1 species
UACGUAGGGUGCGAGCGUUAAUCGGAAUUACUGGGCGUAAAGCGUGCGCAGGCGGUUCGUUAAGUCAGCUGUGAAAGCCCCCGGGCUCAACCUGGGAAUUGCGGUUGAAACUGGCGAACUAGAAUCUGGCAGAGGGGGGUGGAAUUCCACGUGUAGCAGUGAAAUGCGUAGAGAUGUGGAGGAACACCGAUGGCGAAGGCAGCCCCCUGGGCUGAGAUUGACGCUCAGGCACGAAAGCGUGGGGAGCAAACAGG